UGAGCCGGUUUCUCUUCCAAUCGUAUAAAUCUUUUGCCUUUUACUAAAGAUUUCCGUGGAGAGGAACAUUUAUGAGUUUCUACCCAAUUUUUUUGUGAAACUUUUUUAAGAGCCC
rfam:Chelonia mydas contig191488, whole genome shotgun sequence.